AUAAUUGCUGGCAGGGGAGAUAUCAUCAUCUCUUGGUGAGGGUUAUCCCUUGCACUACAGAAUUGCUAACCUCUGAAAUUUUAACAAACAUGGUAAAGAGAACUGCAUUUCUUCUGUUAGCAGGAGACUGUGUUUGCACUUUCACCCA
rnacentral:snRNA from 1 species